rnacentral:lncRNA from 1 species
AUCUCAGACUGCUGUGCUAGCAAUCAGCGAGACUCUGUGGGCGUAGGACCCUCCAAGCCAUGUGCAGGAUAUAAUCUCCUGGUGCGCCGUUUUUUAAGCCCGUCGGAAAAGCGCAGUAUUGGGGUGGGAGUGACCCAAUUUUUUUUUUCUCUUGAUUUGCAGUUUUUUAUAUAUUCUGAUUUCCAUUCUGUUAUUGGUCAUAUAUGUAUUUCAAGAAAACUUUUCUGCUCUGUGAUUUGCCUUUUCUCUCUCUUAGGAGUAUCUUUUGGUUAACAGAAGUUCUUAGUUGUAUUACCAUCAUAGGUAUUAUGCUUUCUCUUUAUAAAGUUUGUGUUUUUGUGUCCUGAUUAAGAAAAUUUUCCUUGAGUUUAAAGACAUUCUACUACUAUAUUUUCUUCUAGAUGGUUCAUUCAUUUAAAAAUUGAUUUAUAGGUGUGAUGUGAGGAAGAGGUUAAGUUUCAUCUUUUUCCAUAUAUGGCUAUCCAAUUAUUCCAGCACACUAGUUGAGAAGAUUUUUAUUUCUUUACUUCCCUGCAGAACGUGAGUCUGCUUCUGACCUUUCUAUUCUGUUCAUUGAUUUUUCAUCUGUGUGCCAAUAGCACAACCAUCUUACUGU